AGCCCGCACACCUCUCUCUUUCCCCUCAGCACCGGAGGCGCGCAACACGGACGCACUGCACCGAUCCCAAGAUGCGCUAGGGCUGGCUCGCCGCUGAUGGCGAUGGCUAUCAAAUGGCAACUACGGCGACGUUGACGCACUUUUUAUCCCCUACCGCUGCCGCCUCCCGAGAUCCUGAGCGCGGCGACAAGCAGAUUUCCUUGGAUGUCUCCUUGCCCCUACCGUGCUCGAUUUCAUUCAAAGGCUUCAGGACCUAUUUGCGAUGAAGACUGAAUGCACGUGAAAAAUACGAUCAGGAUGCAAUCGAGGAAUAUAUGGGACUAUUUCUGCAAUUGUUGUCCCUCCCUAACUCCGUUGAGUCGAUAACCAUAUCAUCCUGUGAUAUGGGUUAAGGAAGACAAGGUAGUGCACUUCCAGAUGUUUGUCCUCCUCUCCUAGACGAUGGACAGUGCAGUGAACACGAGCAAAUAAAUUGGUAGAAGGUGCAGACGACUAUCUGAACCAAGGCUUGUGUAAUAUGUAAAGUGAGUUGCAGAUGCAGUAUCUACCUCUUUGAUAAGUAUUGGGUGUAGGUAAGACACAUCUAAUCUGAAUUGAGAUAUGGAUGGCGUGAAUAGUCUGUAUGUUUGAUUUUCGAUUGAAUGUUGAAUUAUUAUCAACUAGAUCUUCCUCCACCGACAUUACUAGCUCCUCCUUGAAUACCAACUGUCGGAAAGAGAGCAAUGGUACUGUGAUUGUACUGUUUUAUGCCAGGUGUUAAGGAAUACUAUUUGCAAGCAGUUAGCGAGGAACUGACGGUGCAUUAUAUUGUAUAGAAGGUUCUUUUGAUCCUGAAAAGCCAAUUGUGCAUUUAAUGUUCUAUACCUAAUUUGGCCCUCCUGAAUCUCGUCCAUUCCUAAAUGUAUGUCUUUUUAGAUAUUUCAAUAUGAACUACAUACAAAUGUAUGUAGACAUAGUUUAGAGUGUAGAUUCACUUAUUUUGCUACGAAUGUAGUCUAUAUUGGAAUCUCUAAAAAAGACUUAUAUUUGGGAAUGGAGGGAGUACAUAUACAUAUGUUAGUUAUGUCAAGCACUUUUUUAGUCUCAGCUUUUGUAAAUCUUGUGACUUAUCAAUGCCAGCUUACUAGACAAUGCGAAGGAAGCCCAGAAGUGUGAUUCAGUGGAUAUAUUGUUGUUGCAUAUGCCUUGCAUGCAAAUUUAAAUAUGAGGGAUUCAAGGGCUAGGUAGCAUGCUUCUACUUGACUGAAUUUAAGUAGGAGAGAUUAUCAAUUGCAUGCCGAGUCUUGUUGUACUUUCUGGGUUGUUUGAUUUCCUUUGGUGGUUUUUCAAAAUAAUCUUGAUUUAACCAUGAUUUGCUCUGGUGGUUUUUUGAGAUAGUCUUCGUUUCGCAAAGACAUCAUAGUGAUCGCGCCUGGAAUACUCAAUGUCUUUGCUUGUGGUUUGUGUUCUUCAGGUCUUCACUUGCCAUGAUAUAUCUCUGAUUUCUUCUUCUCUGUUCUAAAUAGAGUCUGUUCUGUUUGCACCAAUUCGAGAUAAUGGUCGUAGAAUGCAGCAGCCAAGACAACAAGAUCAAGCUCGACUUAGGACUGAUGACAAAUAAAAUUUGAUUCAGAUGGUUCCUUGCAUCUUCCUCUCAUAAUUAAACCUAAUAAUACAAUUUUUUGUGCUCUUGCUUCUGCAGAUUCUAAAGAAUUGAUUCGUUGUUCGGGCAUUUCGUGCAUUUGGAGUUCACAGAUAAUACCGACAAUUUCUCAAACCGGAGUUCAGUCAGUAGGUUAGUAAAUAAAGCCGGAGUUCGCAUGGAGCACCAACGAUAACCUCAAGCAGAUGCAUCGAGAUAGGCAAAUCAGAGUUUAUGGCACCCAAACUCUUCACUGGCAAUUUUAACGAGUUGGUGGACAUAUAUUCGUUUUGGAUGUGCAUGCCUGAAAUGAAAAGAAAAUGAUGGAAAAGUCUUGGACCUUGCUUAAUGCUUGGAACUACACCUUUCCAAACAUCCUUGUUGCUUGAUGCCAAGAGGAUUUCUCCAAGAGACUGGAACUAUGUUCCUCUGUAGUUCUCCAUUCAGACAUUUCUAUGGUUAGAGCUUUCUUCUGACAAAAUUGUGCUGGUGUCUGGAUGUAAAAUGUAUUUCCUAUUACAGCUGAGAAAGAGAGUAAGUAAAAAGGGUAAGCCAAGGGCUAGCCUAAAAUUCCAAAAGGACUAUUUCCUGAGGUAUUUGUCGCCGGCCAACCUGUCAUCAACCCAGGGUUGGUCGCUUGAACGACAUUCACUUCGAGGGAGUUUUGAUUAAAAGUUUGUGACUUAUCAUGCAUGGAACAUGCAUCUUUUGUUAA